GUGGGGAAUAUUGGACAAUGGGCGCAAGCCUGAUCCAGCCAUGCCGCGUGAGUGAUGAAGGCCCUAGGGUUGUAAAGCUCUUUCACCGGAGAAGAUAAUGACGGUAUCCGGAGAAGAAGCCCCGGCUAACUUCGUGCCAGCAGCCGCGGUAAUACGAAGGGGGCUAGCGUUGUUCGGAAUUACUGGGCGUAAAGCGCACGUAGGCGGACAUUUAAGUCAGGGGUGAAAUCCCGGAGCUCAACUCCGGAACUGCCUUUGAUACUGGGUGUCUGGAGUAUGGAAGAGGUGAGUGGAAUUCCGAGUGUAGAGGUGAAAUUCGUAGAUAUUCGGAGGAACACCAGUGGCGAAGGCGGCUCACUGGUCCAUUACUGACGCUGAGGUGCGAAAGCGUGGGGAGCAAACAGGAUUAGAAACCCGUGUAGUCC
rnacentral:rRNA from 1 species